rnacentral:rRNA from 1 species
UACGAAGGGGGCUAGCGUUGUUCGGAAUUACUGGGUGUAAAGCGUGCGCAGGCGGCCAUCCAAGUCAGUGGUGAAAGCCCGGAGCUCAACUCCGGAAUUGCCAUUGAAACUGUUCGGCUCGAGUACGAGAGAGGUGAGUGGAAUUCCCAGUGUAGAGGUGAAAUUCGUAGAUAUUGGGAAGAACACCGGUGGCGAAGGCGGCUCACUGGCUCGUUACUGACGCUCAGGCACGACAGCGUGGGGAUCAAACAGG